rnacentral:rRNA from 1 species
GACGAACGCUGGCGGCGUGCUUAACACAUGCAAGUCGAACGAGUGGCGAACGGGUGAGUAAUACGUGGGUAACCUGCCCACUUUUUGGGAUAAGCCUUGGAAAAGGGGGCUAAUACCGAACCAAGGGGUAUGGGCUCGCGGCCUAUCAGGUUGUUGGGGGGGUGAUGGCAUACCAAGGCGGUGACGUGUAGCAGGCCUGAGAGGGUGACCGGCCACAUUGGGACUGAGAUACGGCCCAGACUCCUACGGGAGGCAGCAGUGGGGGAGAGUGCUCAAUGGGCGAAAGCCGGAUGCAGCGACGCCGCGUGGGGGAUGAAGGCUUUCGGUUUGUAAUCCUCUUUCGCUAUCGAAGGGUAGGUGGAGAAGAAGCGCCGGCUAACUACGUGCCAGCAGCCGCGGUAAUAC